UACGUAGGGUGUAGGCGUUAAUCGGAAUUACUGGGCGUAAAGCGUGCGCAGGCGGUUUGCUAAGACAGGUGUGAAAUCCCCGGGCUUAACCUGGGAACUGCGCUUGUAACUGGCAAGCUGGAGUGUGGCAGAGGGGGGUGGAAUUCCACGUGUAGCAGUGAAAUGCGUAGAGAUGUGGAGGAACACCGAUGGCGAAGGCAGCCCCCUGGGCUAACACUGACGCUCAUGCACGAAAGCGUGGGGAGCAAACAGG
rnacentral:rRNA from 1 species